CAUCAUCAAGCUUGCUUUGAUGGAUGGCGACCGGCGCACGGGUGAGUAACACGUAUCCCACCUGCCGACAACACUGGGAUAGCCUUUCGAAAGAAAGAUUAAUACCGGAUGGCAUAAUUAUUCCGCAUGGGAUAAUUAUUAAAGAAUUUCGGUUGUCGAUGGGGAUGCGUUCCAUUAGGCAGUUGGCGGGGUAACGGCCCACCAAACCAACGAUGGAUAGGGGUUCUGAGAGGAAGGUCCCCCACAUUGGAACUGAGACACGGUCCAAACUCCUACGGGAGGCAGCAGUGAGGAAUAUUGGUCAAUGGACGAGAGUCUGAACCAGCCAAGUAGCGUGAAGGAUGACUGCCCUAUGGGUUGUAAACUUCUUUUAUACGGGAAUAAAGUUAGCCACGUGUGGCUUCUUGUAUGUACCGUAUGAAUAAGGAUCGGCUAACUCCGUGCCAGCAGCCGCGGUAAUACGGAGGAUCCGAGCGUUAUCCGGAUUUAUUGGGUUUAAAGGGAGCGUAGGCGGGUUGUUAAGUCAGUUGUGAAAGUUUGCGGCUCAACCGUAAAAUUGCAGUUGAUACUGGCGACCUUGAGUGCAACAGAGGUAGGCGGAAUUCGUGGUGUAGCGGUGAAAUGCUUAGAUAUCACGAAGAACUCCGAUUG
rnacentral:rRNA from 1 species